rnacentral:rRNA from 1 species
UACGUAGGGUGCAAGCGUUAAUCGGAAUUACUGGGCGUAAAGCGUGCGCAGGCGGUUGGGCAAGACAGAUGUGAAAUGCCCGGGCUUAACCUGGGAACUGCAUUUGUGACUGCAUGGCUAGAGUUUGGCAGAGGGGGGUAGAAUUCCACGUGUAGCAGUGAAAUGCGUAGAUAUGUGGAGGAACACCGAUGGCGAAGGCAGCUCGCUGGGACGGGUACUGACGCUGAGGCGCGAAAGCGUGGGGAGCGAACAGG